rnacentral:rRNA from 1 species
ACUAUAACGGUCCUAAGGUAGCGAAAUUCCUUGUCGGGUAAGUUCCGACCUGCACGAAUGGCGUAAUGAUGGCCAGGCUGUCUCCACCCGAGACUCAGUGAAAUUGAACUCGCUGUGAAGAUGCAGUGUACCCGCGGCAAGACGGAAAGACCCCGUGAACCUUUACUAUAGCUUGACACUGAACAUUGAGCCUUGAUGUGUAGGAUAGGUGGGAGGCUUUGAAGCGUGGACGCCAGUCUGCGUGGAGCCAACCUUGAAAUACCACCCUUUAAUGUUUGAUGUUCUAACGUUGGCCCGUAAUCCGGGUUGCGGACAGUGUCUGGUGGGUAGUUUGACUGGGGCGGUCUCCUCCCAAAGAGUAACGGAGGAGCACGAAGGUUAGCUAAUCCUGGUCGGACAUCAGGAGGUUAGUGCAAUGGCAUAAGCUAGCUUGACUGCGAGCGUGACGGCGCGAGCAGGUGCGAAAGCAGGUCAUAGUGAUCCGGUGGUUCUGAAUGGAAGGGCCAUCGCUCAACGGAUAAAAGGUACUCCGGGGAUAACAGGCUGAUACCGCCCAAGAGUUCAUAUCGACGGCGGUGUUUGGCACCUCGAUGUCGGCUCAUCACAUCCUGGGGCUGAAGUAGGUCCCAAGGGUAUGGCUGUUCGCCAUUUAAAGUGGUACGCGAGCUGGGUUUAGAACGUCGUGAGACAGUUCGGUCCCUAUCUGCCGUGGGCGCUGGAGAAUUGAGGGGGGCUGCUCCUAGUACGAGAGGACCGGAGUGGACGCAUCACUGGUGUUCGGGUUGUCAUGCCAAUGGCACUGCCCGGUAGCUAAAUGCGGAAGAGAUAAGUGCUGAAAGCAUCUAAGCACGAAACUUGCCCCGAGAUGAGUUCUCCCUGAGACUAUAAGUCUCCUGAAGGAACGUUGAAGACGACGACGUUGAUAGGCCGGGUGUGUAAGCGCAGCGAUGCGUUGAGCUAACCGGUACUAAUGAACCGUGAGGCUUAACCUU